GGAUAUGAGGAUCACCUAGAUAGAACAUCUGUCAUUCCAUUGAUCACCAGGAUUGGUUCAGCUGAUCUGACUAAUAAGCAGGUGUCCUUUCCCCCAUUACCCUUUCUUUUUUAAAAAAAUUAUUUUUAUUGGUACAUUUCAGGUAUACAAUAUAAUGACAUUCAUCAUCAGAAAUUUGCACAUUUAUAUAAUCCAUCUUGGUUCUUAU
rnacentral:snRNA from 1 species